AGCCAGACUCCUACGGGAGGCAGCAGUGGGGAAUAUUGCACAAUGGGGGAAACCCUGAUGCAGCGACGCCGCGUGAGUGAAGAAGUAUUUCGGUAUGUAAAGCUCUAUCAGCAGGGAAGAGAAUGACGGUACCUGACUAAGAAGCCCCGGCUAACUACGUGCCAGCAGCCGCGGUAAUACGUAGGGGGCAAGCGUUAUCCGGAUUUACUGGGUGUAAAGGGAGCGUAGACGGCAUGGCAAGUCAGAUGUGAAAGCCCGGGGCUCAACCCCGGGACUGCAUUUGAAACUGUCAGGCUGGAGUGCAGGAGAGGUAAGUGGAAUUCCUAGUGUAGCGGUGAAAUGCGUAGAUAUUAGGAGGAACACCAGUGGCGAAGGCGGCUUACUGGACUGUAACUGACGUUGAGGCUCGAAAGCGUGGGGAACAAACAGGAUUAGAUACCCGCGUA
rnacentral:rRNA from 1 species